AAAUACCUCGAGGGGUCCUCACAGUUGCUCAACAUAAAUCAGCAAAAUGACAGGCAAUUGACUCCGCAGACAGCUCUCGCUCGGCUGAGUGGCUGUAGCUGCUGGAAGCAGAUGAGGGCAUUUUCCUGUAAACAGGACUGUGAUUAGCACGAGAGUCAACAGCCGGCUCCCUCUGCCAGCCUCCAGCCAGCUCUGGAUUUCUCACUUGGUGGAAACUGCUCCAUGACUCCAGGCGGCCAGGCUGGCGAUCCCAAGCAGUUAAAGUCUCGAUCUCAACACCUGGUCAGGAUUUGUGAUUUCCCCAUAAGGACGGCUGGAUUCUGGGAGCAGUAGGAGCUGACAGGGAGCCGAGAGGACAGAAGACCCAGAAACCAAGUGAGCCAAGAGAGCGAAAAGCCAAGAGAACUAUUUCCGCCAGACCUUCCCUUAAGUCUCUUCAGUUCUCCUCAGGAGGUUACAUCGCAUGCUAAUAGCACCUACUAAUCAAGCCUUCCUCUUUGUUUACAAGCACUACUCCUUCCCAAAGCCCCACAAUUCAUGGAGCUGCCCCAUUCCAGGACGCUGCCAUGUGGUGUUGGGCCUCAAACCCACAGCCUCAUGCAUGACAAAACGUGUGCUCUUCCAGUGCUUUUAAGCAGGACCUGAUUUCCUUGCUUACCUUAAUGAAAAGAUUCUGGGGAGAAUGUUCUAGUCUGGAACUGAUGCCCUCAGCAUCAACCCAACAUGGACAGCCUUUCCUCCUCCCAGUGCACACAGAGCCUAAAAAUAUCAUCCAAUCAAUGACAGCAGUCCCUCUCGUGAUGUCUCCUGGAGAAUAUGCCCUGAGGACUCAGGACCUUGACAGGACAGAAUGACAAGACUGAUGACUAGGCAUCAGAGCACAGUAAGAAGGCCUCUGAGACAGGACGCAGACCCUCCUGUGUUCUGAAAGCCUAGCUGCUGGGUGUCACCUACAGAGCAGGUACGAUCACAUGGCCUUCAUUUGUGGGUCUUCAGGGAAGUCAAGUCAGACUGGGAAAGAAGCAUUCAGCCUCAUUGCAAAUGAGUGAAAAGCACUUGGUGUCAACGUGGCUGUGCACACCUGGCCAGGAACAGAAGGGGAUUGUUGACAGAAUUGUCUGAUGUCCCUGAAAAGAUACCUCAUAUUUCAUUCAGUGGUAGUGAGACAGAAAGUGACAGUGACUGCAGGGAGGCAGAGGGACCCCAGACAGAAGGUCAAAAGGUUUCUGAUUCCCAUCAAGAGACAUUCUCGACAUGUCCCAAUGAGUCAAACAGAUAACACUUGUGGAGCUACGGAAGUUGCCACACACCCAGGUGUGCCGAGGACAAGAUUUCCCCCUAACCCUUGGAGGGACCAGAGCAGAGGCUGACUGGGUGAAUAUGGGUGCAGCCUGAAAAACCUCCAGCUGGACCAAAGAGAUAACUGAGCUCUUUAUAAGGACCCCAGGUCCUUCCCCAGUAUGGGCACCUCCCUCAAGGCCCCCAUCCCAUGUUUAUAGGGGCUCCUUGCUUCAUCUUCCCUCCUAUCCCUUUCCUCCCAGGAAAACUCUGUUUCUAAUA